rnacentral:rRNA from 1 species
UACAGAGGGUGCGAGCGUUACUCGGAAUUACUGGGCGUAAAGCGUGCGUAGACGGUAGCGUAAGUCAGAUGUGAAAGCCCCGGGCUCAACCUGGGAAUUGCAUUUGAGACUGCUCUGCUCGGGUGCGGAAGAGGGAAGCGGAAUUUCCGGUGUAGCGGUGAAAUGCGUAGAUAUCGGAAGGAACACCAGUGGCGAAAGCGGCUUCCUGGUCCGACACAGACGUUCAGGCACGAAAGCGUGGGGAGCAAACAGG